GACGAACGCUGGCGGCGUGCUUAACACAUGCAAGUCGAACGGAAAGGCCCCCUUGUGGGGUACUCGAGUGGCGAACGGGGGGGUAACACGUGAGUAACCUACCCUUGACUUUGGGAUAACUUCAGGAAACUGGGGCUAAUACCGGCUAGGAGCUCCUGCUGCAUGGUGGGGGUUGGAAAGUUUCGGCGGUUGGGGAUGGACUCGCGGCUUAUCAGCUUGUUGGUGGGGUAGUGGCUCACCAAGGCUUUGACGGGUAGCCGGCCUGAGAGGGUGACCGGCCACAUUGGGACUGAGAUACGGCCCAGUCUCCUACGGGAGGCAGCAGUGGGGAAUAUUGCACAAUGGGCGGAAGCCUGAUGCAGCAACGCCGCGUGCGGGAUGACGGCCUUCGGGUUGUAAACCGCUUUCGCCUGUGACGAAGCGUGAGUGACGGUAAUGGGCAAAGAAGCACCGGCUAACUACGUG
rnacentral:rRNA from 1 species